GUGGUGGCGUGCGCCUGUAACCGAGCUACUACGGAGCAGGUAGUGUCGAAUGACUUGAGGUCGGGACUCCUGUCGUACGUCGACCUAUGUCGAUCGGGUGUCCACACUAAGUUGGGCGUCGAUAUGGUGAACUGAGGGGAACCUUCGUCCACCAGGUUGAAUAAAGAGGAACGUACUGGUCCAGGAUGGAAACAUAGCAGACAAAAGUUCCCGCGUCAAAUAGUAGUGGGGUAGCACUUGUGAAUAGGAGGCGUGCGACAGCCCGGUCAAGAUAGUUGAACCCGCUAUCAUUUUCUUUUUUUUCUUCAAUUCGCACUCUGGAAAACAAAAAUGUUUCGUAUAUUUCUAAGACACCUAGUCUGCAAUUUUCAUUUAUUAAAAAGUGUAUGUAGAGUCGAAGUUUCCUGUAAUCUAUUUGAACUUGUUGUUCCCGAUGCUCUCCACAGUACUUCUAAUUACCAUAGCACGGCGAUCAUUUCGUCGGUUCCAAAGACAGUACUCUUUUUCGCCCACUGCCACAGCCCCGAAGCUUGCUCUUGUAUGUUGAAUCUCAUAUAAAUUAAUAAAUAAAUGUCAUAUAAAUUACGUGAGAGAGAGAAUUCUUUUUCAAUUUGUAUUUAUUCAAUAUACUAAACUUUUUAACAAGUUAAAACGACAAAACAAUAAGUAUAUAACGUUCCUACAAGUUGCCUAUACUAGCGAAAUUCGAUAAUUACCGCUACAAAUUACUGAAUUAUGGAACAAAUUCCAAAUAGUUGCUUAAUUAAAGCUAGAGAGGUUGCUAAAUCGAAAAAAAGUUGCUCGUACAAAGAAAACUUGCCAAGAAUUUGGCGGAUAACUUGUGGACAAGCCUAUCAGCGACAGUCCGUGCACUUAUAAAAGUGUUGACAAUUACGGGACGACCCUUUAGACGUCCACCCUGAUAUUGUUUUAAAACUCCAGUUAAGCCCAGUCUAGCCUGAUUACAAAUCCAGUUUAGUUCAGAUCAGUCCAUGUUUACAAGUGCAGUUUAGUUUACUUCAAUCAACGUUGUGUUAGUCUAGCACGUUCACUCUAGUCUUUGUUUCACGUGUCCAGCUUAGUUUAUUUUAGCUUUGACUAUUAAUAGUUCUGUCUAUCCAUGUCUUCACAGACAAAAGCAGAUUACAAUAGUCAGUUCAUGUUUUCAUAACAUGAGACAGCUGGUCUGCAUAUAUAUAGUGUUCAAGGAUUAUUACAUGCACAAUAGUUGAAAAAAUAUACUUUCCAAUUUUAACAGACCUACAAGCCUGUUUUAUCAGGUCAAACCUGUCUACAAAUGAUUGAAAUGAAAUCAUGACUUCUUAUAAGUUCGGUCCAUGUUUAGUCGCCCAUACAGUUUAUAGUUUAGAUCAAUCAAUGUUUCACUAGCCCACUAAAGUAAUCCUUGUUUUACAAUUUCAUUUCUAAUAGUUUCAUUAGUUCAGUCGAAUUUAUGAUGUACUCUAUUCCGCAAACAAACAUAGAUAAGUGCAAUGCAGGGCAGCAUUUAAAUAAAAUAAAUUUUAAUCAAACGUUCGCUGGGCGUGGUGGCAUGCGCCUGUAACCGAGCUACUACAGAGCAGGUAGUGUCGAAUGACUUGAGGUCGGGACUCCUGUCGUACGUCGACCUAUGUCGAUCGGGUGUCCACACUAAGUUAGGCGUCAAUAUGGUGAACUGAGGGGAACCUCGUCCACCAGAUUGAAUAAAGAGGAACGUACCGGUCCAGGAUGGAAACAUAGCAGACAAAAGUUCCCGCGUCAAACAGUAGUGGGAUAGCACUUGUGAAUAGGAGGCGUGCGAUAGCUCGGUCAAGAGAGUUAAACCCCGCUACCAUUUUCCUUUUUUUCGUCAUUCUGGAAAACAAAAAUGUUUAUAAUAUUUUCAGGACAUCCAAUUUGUCAUUUCCACUAAAUUAAAAAAAUGAACAGUCGAAGCUUGAGUUUGCAUUUGAAGUUGUUGUUGCUAAUGCUCUCCCCAUACCUCAUUUACUGGCGCGGCCAUCAUGUAAUCGGUCGAAAACAAAUGUGACCGAUACUGCAACUCCCAACACUAACCCUAACUCCAAUCCUAACACUAACCUGCAAACCUGCCUUAAUAAAGCCACCACCAAUCGCAAUAAAACUAACGAAACGUAUGUAUUAAACGUUUUCGCUAAAAAUUACAGCAAAAAUCAUGCCUUUACAAACAUGGUAUCAUCAAAUAUUAAAUACAUUCAUGUACACAACAAUAUAUUAAUAUUUUGGUUGAGUUUAUACAAUCUAUUUUAAAAAAAUUACAACUUUUAAUAGAACAAGGAACGUUUCAAAUAUUUGAACCAGUUAAAAAGACUUGACGUUGUCGGCAAACAUGAGUAGGCACACUGGAUGAGAGCAUGACAUAUGAUAGAGGAAUGAUUGGCUCAAAUCUACCACGUUGAUUAUCGUAGACGCACACUGGGCAAUCAAACUGGUAUGAUUGGUUCUUGCUGGUCGUUUUAGCAGAGAAUAUUUCACCUCUUUCACCUGGUCUUAAUAAGAGGCUUGUAUUCUUUGAUUUCCAGAGGUUUUGAGUUCCUCCAGACAGCCUUUAGUUUCGUCCCAUGAUGCAUUGUGAAGGACAAAUUCUGCCAUUUGUACGCCAUCCGUUGCAGGCACACUCAUUGUCGAAUGAUCGUGUGUCAACUGUUGGAACAAACCAGAAAAAUAUGAGUGUUAGCGACCCUUCUCUAAAGGCUUAUAUUACAUUUGCAUUCAAGCGUUACCCCGUUAUAACAUAAAAAGUUGUUUCUGAGUUUUCCAACCAACGUGAUUGGACAUGUUUCGCAUAUCAAAAUAGUCAUGACUUGGGGCGUAACGCUAAGUUUUGCAACGGUCAUUUUCUCUUUUGUGUUGAGUCAAGCCAAAAAGAAACCAAAUUAAUGUAGCAAGGACUAAUAUUUUGCCCAUCGUUUAACAAAUUAAACUUAUUUUUGAACAAUAUGUACAUUUUAAUCAUACGUUGAACAAAUAUUCUAAACGGCAGAAGUGCCAGAGUAAUUCAUAACGAUAUAUAGAUCAUAUUGAAAAGAGAAGGACCGUUGCAAAAUGUUAGAUUACUCACGCAUGUCAUCACUAUUUUGGCAUGUGAAAGGUAAAGUUCUCCAAUCAUAAAUUAAUGUUGGUUGUCAAUAACGGGCGUGACUCUUUAGACGUCCAGUCCUCAUCUGAUUGUUUCGAAACGCCAAUUAAAUCCAGUCUAGCCUAAAUGAAAUCCAGUUUAGUUCAGAACACUCUAUAGUGCAGAGAAAAUUAGACAAGUGCACUGCAAGGCAGCGUUUAAAUACAAUAAAUUUGAAAGUACUGUGCUUCUUCCUAAAGAAAAUUUUCACUUCGCAGAUAUUACUAUAGAUAGUGUUUCCAAACGCCUACAAAAACUAAAUGUCUCAAAAGCGACAGGUAUGGAUGGAAUACCUGCGAAUAUUUUAAAACUGACAUCAACCCUUAUUGCUCCAUCUAUAACUUUUAUAUUUAACCUAUCGAUUAGAACUGGUAUUUAUAUAGAUGAGUGGAAAUUAGCUAGAGUUAUACCAAUUUACAAAUCUGAGGAUAAGCGUAAAUUAUAGACCAAUUUCAAUUCUUCCCAUAAUAAGUAAAAUAUUUGAAGGGGAAGUUUUUACUCAAAUAUAUAGCUUUUUGAAUAAACAUGCGCUUCUGUCUAAAUUUCAAUCCGGGUUUAGACCAAAACAUGGAACCUUAUAGGUGCUCUUAUACAAAUGUGUGAUCAAUGGCUACAAGACAUGGAUGAAGGCAAAAUAAAUGGAGUUGUUUUUCUUGAUAUAUGUAAAGCAUUUGACUCGGUGAAUCACGAGAUAUUAUUGGAGAAGCUUAAAACCCAGUUUGGAAUUCACGACAUUGAAUUAAAAUGGUUCCAAUCAUACUUAAGGAAUAGAAAGCAAGUGUGUUCUGUUAAUGAUCAAACUUCUUCUGCAAGAACAAUAAUAUGCGGAAUUCCGCAAGGAUCCAUACUUGGUCCAUUAUUGUUUUUGCUAUAUAUUAAUGAUAUGCCUGAUAUUUUAGAAAGGACAACCCCAUGUCUUUAUGUCGACGACACUCAGAUAUCUUCCUCUUCGCAUGAUUACGAUACAUUGAUUGACAAUUUGAAUAUGGACCUUUCCAGUAUUCAUAAAUGGCUUGCUAAAAACAAACUAAAAUAUCAUAGGAAAAAAAACAAAAGUCAUGUUUAUUGGAUCUACGCAUAAUCUAAAUCAUAAAAUAGGAAAUAGACCCGUUGAGAUUAACAAAAUCCCAGUCCCACAAACCAAUACAUUUAAAUGUCUAGGUGUAAAUCUAGAUGAAAAAUUAAGUUGGGAGAAACAUAUUGAUUCUGUAUGCCGUAAGAUUAGCGCUGGAAUAGGAGCAAUUAAAAGAAUAAAACCUUAUGUUCCACACAAAACCUUACAUGAUGUCUACAAAACAUUAAUUCAGCCUCAUUUUGAUUACUGUUCUCCCCUGUGGGAUAACUGUGGUUUGGGACUUCAAGACAAAUUGCAAAAAUUCCAAAAUCGAGCAGCAAGGGUGAUUACCGGAGCUGACUACGAUGUAAGAUCGUCUGAAGUCCUAAACAAAUUAGGCUGGGAAACCCUGGCUAGGAGACGAGAACAAAACAAGCUAGUAUUGAUGUAUAAAGUCUUGGGGAACCACACUGCGCCAAACCUUAAAGAUCUUUUUUCUCGGAGAAAUGCAUCGCAGAAUAUUUAUGAUUUACGCAAUAGCGAAACUGAUCUCUCGUUAAAAAAACCGAAAACGGAAUUUCUAAAGAAAACAUUUGGAUACAGUGGAGCAAUUCUAUGGAAUAGUCUCCCGCAAGAUGUCAAGGCGGCUGAGUCAAUUACGUCAUUUAAAACAAUGGCGAAAUUGCAUUUAAGCAGAUGAUAAGCUAAUUUCUCCAGGACCAAAUGAUGGGAGGACAAUAUAGAUUGUGGGCGGGAGGGGGGUUAGUUUUGCGUGAGGGUGGGUGGGUACUUGUUUAGGGGGUGGAGGUUUGGGAGGAAGAUGAUAAAAUUUUAGGGUGGGAUUCUUACAUACUUUGUUUUAUAUAUAAUUAACAUUUAGCUCUUUGUGUGUAUACGCCCUUCGUGGAAACCAGUUGUAAAUAAUUGUCGAAGUUAGCGUAUUGAAAUAAAGUUUUACAUACAUACAUACAUACAUACAUACAUAGUCAAACGUUCGCUGGGCGUGGUGGCGUGCGCCUACAUGUAACCAAGCUACUACGGAGCAGGUAGUGUCGAAUGACUUGAGACCGGGAUUCCUGUCGUACGUCGACCUAUGUCGAUCCAGUGUCCACACUAAGUUGGGCGUCAAUAUGGUGAACUGAGGGAAACCUUCGUCUACCAGGUUGAAUAAAGGGGAACGUACCGGUCCAGGAUAGCAGACAAAUGUUCCCGCGUCAAACAGUAGUGGGAUAGCACUUGUGAAUAGGAGGCGUACGACAGCCCGGUCUAGAUAGUUGAACCCUCUACCAUUUUCCCUUUUUUCUCAUUCUGAUUCGCACAUUGGAAAACAAAAAUGUUCCGUAUAUUUCCAAAACACCCAAUUAGCCAUGUCCACGAAAUUAAAAAAUGUAGAGUUGACGUUUGCUGCUAUUCAUUUGUACUUGUUUGUUGUUGCGAAAGAUCUCCCCAGUACUUUAAUUUCUCCAUGGUGCGGUAAUCAUAUCUUCGCUUCCAAAGGCGAUGAGAGUAGUCUUUUUUGGGGGCCGGGUUUCCUGCCCCUCUCCCCACACCCUUGAAGCGUGCUGUUUAAUGCUGAAUCUCAAGAAGGAUGAUCAGUCUAUAAUCAACAUUUUAAAAAGCGUACAUCAGUCAUUAACUCCCUUGUUCUCAGCAAUGGUUCGUACUCUUGACUCUUGCGAAGAAAAUGUUGUCGUUUACAGAACGCCCCCUUAGACGUCCGGUCCAGACUGUGUUCUGAAACUCCAAUUUCGCCCAAUCUAGUCUGUUUACAAGUCCAGUUGAGUUCAGUUUAGUCGAUGUUUACAGGUCGAGCUUAGUUUAUUGCAAUCAAAAUUUUACGUCCAGUCCAGUUUGUUCAAUCCAAUCGUUGUUUUCCAUGAUGCUUUAAUAGCAUCUGUUUAUCCAUAUGUUCACAGACAAGUCCAGUUUGUCCAGUACAUAUUUUUACAACAUGCCACUGCUGGUCUACAUGUAAACAGUAUUAUAGUUUUUCAAACUUUAUUACAACGUUUGAAAAGUUCACUACCCAGUUGAUAAUGCUCUAUCCAGCUUUUGUACGGCCUGCUCAAAGCGUUUAUUUGAUCCAGUCAAACCUGUUUACAAAUUCAGUGUAGUUCAUAGAUAAGUCCAUUGCUAAUCUGCAUUUAAUUAAAUACAAUAAAUCUUAGUCACACGAUCACUGGGCGUGGUGGCGUGCGCCUGUAACUGAGCUACUACGGAGCAGGUAGUGUCGAAUGACUUGAGAUCGGGACUCCUGUCGUACGUCGACCUAUGUCGAUCGGGUGUCCACACUAAGUUGGGCGUCAAUAUGGUGAACUGAGGGGAACCAUCGUCCACCAGGUUGAAUAAAGAGGAACGUACCGGUCCAGGAUGGAAACAUAGCAGACAAAAGUUCCCGCGUCAAAUAGUGGUGGGAUAGCACUUGUGAAUAGGAG